rnacentral:rRNA from 1 species
UGUCUAAGUAUAAGCAAUUAUACAGCGAAACUGCGAAUGGCUCAUUAAAUCAGUUAUCGUUUAUUUGAUAGUACCUUACUACAUGGAUAACCGUGGUAAUUCUAGAGCUAAUACAUGCUAAAAACCCCGACUUCGGAAGGGGUGUAUUUAUUAGAUUAAAAACCAAUGCCCUCCGGGGCUCACUGGUGAUUCAUAAUAACUUCUCGAAUCGCACGGCCUUGCGCCGGCGAUGGUUCAUUCAAAUUUCUGCCCUAUCAACUUUCGACGGCUGGGUCUUGGCCAGCCGUGGUGACAACGGGUAACGGAGGGUUAGGGCUCGACCCCGGAGAAAACGCCUGAGAAACGGCGUUUACAUCCAAGGAAGGCAGCAGGCGCGCAAAUUACCCAAUGCCGACGCGGCGAGGUAGUGACGAGAAAUACUGAUACAGGGCUCUUUUGGGUCUUGUAAUUGGAAUGAGUACAAUUUAAAUCUCUUAACGAGGAACAAUUGGAGGGCAAGUCUGGUGCCAGCAGCCGCGGUAAUUCCAGCUCCAAUAGCGUAUAUUAAAGUUGUUGCAGUUAAA